UACGUAGGGGGCAAGCGUUGUCCGGAUUUAUUGGGCGUAAGGAGCGUGUAGGCGGCCAUACAGGUCAGCUGUGAAAACUCGAGGCUCAACCUCGAGACGUCGGUUGAAACCGUAUGGCUAGAGUCCGGAAGAGGAGAGUGGAAUUCCCGGUGUAGCGGUGAAAUGCGCAGAUAUCGGGAAGAACACCCGUGGCGAAGGCGGCUCUCUGGGACGGUACUGACGCUGAGACGCGAAAGCGUGGGGAGCGAACAGG
rnacentral:rRNA from 1 species